AUGGAUUAUGAUCCAUCGGAUGAGAAAAAGGCUAUUGAUGAUACAAAAGCGGGUGUUAAGGGACUAGUUGAUUCUGGAAUAGUCAAGAUUCCAAGAAUUUUCAUUAGGCCACCUCAUGAACUUGCUGAGGAGUAUGUGCAAGUCAACUCAACAGGUUCCGGUGGUGGAUCUAAGUGGCAUAGAAGUUGAAGAUCGGCGUAAGAUCAUUGUUGAUGAAAUAAGGGAAGUAUCUGAGAAAUUGGGCCUUUUCCAAGUGAUAAAUCAUGGGGUUCCUUCAAGUGUUUUGGAAGGAAUGAUUGAUGGGACUCGUAAAUUUCAUGAACAAGAUGUCGAAGUGAAGAAAGAGUACUAUUCGUCUGAUCCAACAACCAGACGAGUUAGAUAUGAUGGCAAUGUUCAUAUGUACAAAACAAAAGGAAAGACUGCACACUGGAAGGAUACAUUGUCUGUUGCUGGGCUAGUUUCUGGUCACAUUGAACCUGAAGAAUUACCAGAAGUUUGCAGGAAGGAAUACGUUGAGUACACAAAUCAUGUCGAUAAACUAGGGGAAAUUCUUUUUGGCAUACUAUCAGAAGGUCUUGGGCUAAAACCUGAUCAGUUGAAAGCUACAGAAUGUGCCAAAGAACAAGGGAUGACAUGCCAUUACUACCCGGCAUGCCCACAGCCAGAGCUAACUCUUGGUACCGACAAGCAUACAGAUCCUGUUUUCCUUACGUUUAUCCUUCAAAAUCAGAUUGGUGGGCUCCAAGUCAUGUGUGAUAACCAAUGGGCCGAUGUUGAACCAAUUGAACAUGGUUUGAUUGUUAUUAUUGGUGACCUUCUUCAGAUCCUAUCAAAUGACAAGUUUGUAAGUGCAAUUCAUAGAGUUGUAGCAGAAAAUGUAGGACCAAGGAUUUCAGCGGCAAGCUUCUUCACUGGAGGUUCUACAUCUCCGAAGAUGCAUGGUCCAAUCAAAGAGCUCAUAUCAGAAGAAAAUCCCCCACUAUAUAAAUAAUUUCAAGUAGAUGAUUAUCUCACUAAGUUUUUCUCCAAGCCUCUUGAUAAGACUGGUCUUGAUCUUUUCAGACUCUGA